ACAUAUGUAGGUGUAUGUCGUUGCACCAUAUCCAUUCAUUUUAUAACAUAUAGUAUGCCUAGUGUUUUGUUCUUAGAAACCAUUUUGGCAAAACCCAAUUUUCGUGCAUUCUAUUUCCUUUCCAUAGUGAUACCUUUUAAGCUCAAUUUUGGAAGCUUUGUGUUGGGAUUUUGAUGGGGCUUUGUGAAGGAAAAAUGUUCCUUAGAUAGUGAGGGUUCUUUUGAUAUUAAACUUGAAUCCAUUUCUUUUGUUGCUGGGUUUGGAAAGUGGUGUUAAAAGAAGAGGGUUUUGGUUGCAAAUAAAGAAGGAAGUGUUCUUCAUUUUCUACCUUGGAAGGCUUUGAUCCAUCAUUUGAGUUGCUUUAAGUUGUGAUUGUUGCUGAGUUUCAAGCUUCUUUGAGGUCAUGGCACGGAUGGAAUGGAAGGUGUUCCUCCUCAGUUGUAGAUAGAGUCGGGGCUAGUGUUGUAGUGUUUUGUUCCGCAUAAUAGACUAUAUUUUGUCUUAUAUUUCUUUAGAAUUUUCCUGGCAUGUAAUAAAUGUUCUUUCAGACUUUAAAACUUUAAAGUUUUAAUAUUGGCAUCUUAUCUAUUUAUUUUCA